AGGGAAUAUUGGACAAUGGGCGCAAGCCUGAUCCAGCCAUCCCGCGUGAAGGAUUAAGGCCCUCUGGGUUGUAAACUUCUUUUCUUUGGGAAUAAAAACUCUGAUUCAUCGGAGCUUGAAGGUACCAGAGGAAUAAGCACCGGCUAACUCCGUGCCAGCAGCCGCGGUAAUACGGAGGGUGCAAGCGUUAUCCGGAUUCACUGGGUUUAAAGGGUGCGUAGGUGGCUUUGUAAGUCAGUGGUGAAAGCCCGGAGCUCAACUCCGGAACUGCCAUUGAUACUGCUUAGCUUGAAUCAGGUCGAGGUGGAUGGAAUAUUACAUGUAGCGGUGAAAUGCUUAGAUAUGUAAUAGAACACCGAUUGCGAAGGCAGUUCACUAGGCCUGUAUUGACACUGAGGCACGAAAGCGUGGGGAUCAAAC
rnacentral:rRNA from 1 species